UACGAAGGGAGCUAGCGUUGUUCGGAAUCACUGGGCGUAAAGCGCACGUAGGCGGAUGUGUCAGUCAGGGGUGAAAUCCCGGAGCUCAACUUCGGAACUGCCUUUGAUACAGCACGUCUUGAGUCCGGUAGGGGAGCGUGGAAUUCCUGGUGUAGCGGUGAAAUGCGCAGAUAUCAGGAGGAACACCAGCGGCGAAGGCGGCGCUCUGGGCCGGUACUGACACUGAGGAGCGAAAGCGUGGGUAGCAAACAGG
rnacentral:rRNA from 1 species